CGUAAAUGUUUUUGCUGCAGUAUACCUUUCCUGCUGCAGCUUCCCAACAAUAACAUUGAAAGAGGGGAAGGGUCUUGACAGGAGGCUGCUGUCUUUUAGGAGAGCUGGGUCCCUGGAUGUCAGAGCUGAGGGGGCAUGCAAACCAUGUGAGUAGCAGCCCACACCAGGCCCCGAGGUCUGCUAUAACAUGCAGUAGGGAGUUCACUCCAUCGUCCGCACAGGCUGGCCACUUUCACUUUCUGUUCCACUUCCUGGCUGCUUGUGAUUUAUGACAUGAAGCUGUUCUCCAUUCUCCCUGCGCUCGAGCCCUCCCCCUCUACAACAUGCUGAUGCAGGACCUUGAGUGUGGUCAGAGCAGGCCGACUGUGCCAAAAAUUCCCGCAUAACAAGAUUAAACAAUGACUCUGUAGUAAACCUCUGAGGAAGAAUUUCUAAGACAGAGCGUUUCUAUGGUUGUCAAAGGGACUGAAUUCUACUGGGAGGCUGGGCUCGGUGAGGUGGUCUCCAGCAUAGAUGUUGGAAAGACAUAUAAACAAAGAAAUUGACGGCAGAUAAGAACCAUUUGCUCCAUCAGAAAGGUACAGCAGUAAAGAGAGGCUCCAGUGGAUGAACACAGGGUACGCAGCCCGUGCAGCCGGAAGUUAUAUUUACACCGUCUUCAGGGCACAUCCUGUGGGAGAAUGAAGAAUGAGUAUGAAGCUUAAACCUACUGUUCUGGAACAAGAAAAGUGAUCAUACUUUAUGCAAGAGA